GGGGGCGACCUGGCUUCGACGGGGGUUGCAAAACAGUUCAGUGCAUAUCGAGGACCAGUGAACCUCGUAAAUCCAUCUGGAAAACUUAUAGUUGCCAACGACGACAACUACGCCCUAGCCGCUUAAGGCUAGGCUCCGCACCAAUUGUUCUCUGGGUUGGAGCUUGGGCAACCAAGUGGCGGAGUCAUAUACAGAGAAUCGUUCUUCAGGGGGUCACCUCCUGCUGAACUAAAUUUAUGGUGAAUCGUCAUUAAUCCGUUUGUCCAUUGACGUAUUAAUGAUUAAAUUCAACAAUGAGACUAAAUAUGUAGAACUGACUGCAGAGGACUUUCGGACGCGGGUUCGAUUCCCGCCGCCUCCACCA
rnacentral:tmRNA from 1 species